ACAACAACAACAACAAACAAACAAACAAACAAAAAAUAAAGGUCAUAUGUUCUUGUAGUUCAGUAAACCUAGAAUUAUGAGCUAAAAUCAAGCAGGCGUAACAACACCACCAACAACAGAAUUUAUUAUCUAGUACACCUUGAUGAGGAGCUAAAUUCGGGGGCACAGGUAACGAGUGGCGGUCUGCUUAUUUACCUAACCUUGGCCGAGUUCAAUUAGGGAUCGUGGGAAUAAAAAACAAACACACACAAAAAAAAAAGCAAUAUCGAGGUGUUCUGAUUAUUACACAUUGCAGACUGAGCUGAAUCCAUUAAUAAGGAAUAACAAAUAAAGGAUAAAACUAACUCUUGAUGCUGGCUGGGCUAAAUUAGGAACACAGGUAACACAGGUAAGGAGGAAAAAGAAGACGAAGGUGACACGUUCUUGCUCUAUAAACCUUCGCGGCACACCUGAUUGAAGGGGACAGGUGAGAGGAUGAAAAAAACAAUGGUACGUUCUCUUUCCUCAGUGCGCCUUGAUGAGUGAGCUAAAUGAAGAAACACGAUUACGAAAACAAACAAAGGGGAUGAUUAUGUUGUUGUAGCUUUGAUGAAUUAGUUAAAUGAGGAAACAAGGGUAAGAAGAACAAACAAACGAAGGGGAUGAUUGUUUUUGUAGAUCUUCCUUCUGAACUCAUUUUUUUAUAUAGGGGCAGUGUUUAUUUAUUUAUUUUUUUUUUUUUUGCCCUCACGAAAUUGACCUCCCUUCUGAACUCAUUUUUUUUAUAUAGGGGCAGUGUUUAGCGUUUUUUCUCAUUAUUAUUAUUUUUUUCCCUUCACGAACCUCCCUUUUUUUUUUAUAGGGGCAGUGUUUAGCGUUUUUUCUCAUUAUUAUUAUUUUUUUCCCCUCACGAACCUCCCUUUUUUUUUUAUAGGGGCAGUGUUUAGCGUUUUUUCUCAUUAUUAUUAUUUUUUU